rnacentral:rRNA from 1 species
GAUGAACGCUGGCGGCGUGCUUAACACAUGCAAGUCGAACGGAAAGGCUCCUGCUUGCAGGGGUACUCGAGUGGCGAACGGGUGAGUAACACGUGGGUGAUCUGCCCUGCACUUCGGGAUAAGCCUGGGAAACUGGGUCUAAUACCGGAUAGGACGAUGGUUUGGAUGCCAUUGUGGAAAGUUUUUCGGUGUGGGAUGAGCUCGCGGCCUAUCAGCUUGUUGGUGGGGUAAUGGCCUACCAAGGCGUCGACUGGUAGCCGGCCUGAGAGGGUGUACGGCCACAUUGGGACUGAGAUACGGCCCAGACUCCUACGGGAGGCAGCAGUGGGGAAUAUUGCACAAUGGGCGCAAGCCUGAUGCAGCGACGCCGCGUGGGGGAUGACGGCCUUCGGGUUGUAAACUCCUUUCGCUAGGGACGAAGCGCAAGUGACGGUACCUGGAGAAGAAGCACCGGCUAACUACGUG